UACGUAGGGUGCUAGCGUUGUCCGGAUUUAUUGGGCGUAAAGGGCUCGUAGGCGGCGUGUCGCGUCGGGAGUGAAAGCCCUUGGCUUAACCGAGGAAGUGCAUCCGAAACUGGCGAGCUAGAGUACGAAAGAGGAUCGCGGAAUUCCCGGUGUAGAGGUGAAAUUCGUAGAUAUCGGGAGGAACACCGGUGGCGAAGGCGGCGAUCUGGGUCGAUACUGACGCUGAGGUGCGAAAGCGUGGGGAGCAAACAGG
rnacentral:rRNA from 1 species